UAGGGAAUCUUCGGCAAUGGGGGCAACCCUGACCGAGCAACGCCGCGUGAGUGAAGAAGGUUUUCGGAUCGUAAAGCUCUGUUGUAAGAGAAGAACGUGUGUGAGAGUGGCAAGUUCACACAGUGACGGUAACUUACCAGAAAGGGACGGCUAACUACGUGCCAG
rnacentral:rRNA from 1 species